rnacentral:tRNA from 1 species
AGUGGUGCCUACGCCACGGCGGGUUGCACGGCUUUAGCGCGGCCGUCGCCGGACGGGUCGCCGAUACGCCGGUGACGUUCAAUGUGCAUGCGCCGCUGC